GCCAUUUAGCCAUUAGCGAAGCAGACUCUGCAGACUGCGAACGAUUAGCGACGACUAGUUUAGGAAAUUUAUUCGUUCUAUUUAUCGUAAAUCUGCGUCCAGGGAGACGCUUGCGCACGUGUGUAAAAAAGCAUUCGACUAGCUUGCAGAUAUGGAUGACAAACUUCGACAAAUGGAAGAUGAGAUGAACAGAUUUGAAGCUGAGAUAGGAGGGCAGCUUGUAACGCCGAUUGUAAGACCGGUGAUCGGUGCAAACACAUACAAUCAGGUCGCUAGGCAAUUGGAGCAACAUGGACCUACCACGACGGUGGUCGCUGCGGCAGCGACAUUAGCGUUUCCUCCGAUGAUCGGGUUUCCACCGCCGCCACCACCUCCGCCUCCUCCUCCGCCCCCGCCAAUAUUAAUUCCUCAACAAGUAGCGCGACAAGGUACGGUCCCUAUUACGACGUACUCCUCGCCCGCACAAAUAAGUAAUCCAUACAUGUCAAAUAUGGUGGAUCCAUGUUUAAGCGCAACACCAAAAACGUACGAUUCCGCAUCAGCGCCAAUGAUCCAUCCAGAGAUCAUCGAACAAAUUAUUAACACAAAGAUCCCCGAAGACGAGGGCAAAAAGAAGCCAAAGGUUAAAGGUGUCAGUACAGCGGCUGAAUUAGCUAUCAGCCAAGGGAAAGCAAGCUCCAUUAUGGCUAACGCUAGCGCGGAGGAAAGUCACCCUAAGGGUAAAGGGAAGAAAAAUAAGAAGAUUAUAAGGACGGCCGGUGGACAGACGUGGGAAGACCCUUCCUUGUUGGAAUGGGACGAAGAUGAUUUUAGGAUAUUCUGCGGGGAUCUGGGGAACGACGUCACCGACGAAAUGCUGGUGCGAGUAUUCGGCAAGUAUCCUAGUUUUCAAAGAGCGAAAGUGGUUAGAGAUAAACGGACAAAUAAAACCAAAGGCUUCGGAUUUGUGUCCUUUAAAGACCCGCAAGAUUUCAUCAAGGCAAUGAAGGAAAUGAAUGAUUGGAAAGAGAACGUACCUUCGGAACCUGCCGCUCUAUCGUUCGUUCGUUCGUUCGAUUUACGCUUCCACUUUCUCUCGGUACACACUCUCUCGGAGCAAAUACGGGGCGGUUUCGCGGCUCGGAUACGGAACCGUACGGCCGUACGGUUCGCCGGCUAUUCGUUGGGGUGGAUGCGACCAAGUGCGUCGGGAGGCUGAGCGUUCCGCUACUCAUUCAACAACCCCUACCUCCUACUACAAAUUCUCAUAAUACCCCACUCUCUUUGGCGACAGCCAAUCGAAAAUCUCGGGGGUAGGCUGUACGAUCCGACUAUUUCGCCGUCUCUUUUGUUUUUCUUUUUUCUUUUUACUUGACGUUACUAUUUCUACUACGUCAUCGUCGUCGGUCAUCAUUGUGAUUUUUUUUAUUUUGUUUCAUCUUGGAUGGAUUUCUCUAUCACGGCGGAUAAGACGAAUUACUUUAGAAAGAUUUUGAUACGGGUCAGAGAUACAGAUAUUUUCGCUAUACCGUAUUGAUCAUAUGUGAUUUACGUCAAGUAUCACCAUAUAAGCGCUGUUACGCUGUAACAUGAAGGAUCAAGUUGCAAUUUUUAGAUACAAUUUACAGUUGGCUCGGAUAUUCCUUUAAUAAUCGCUAGUAAUAACGCCGUAACGAGUUAUAACGAGGCGAAUACUUGAACUUUACACGCGGUAAUCGUGUUUAUCCCGAUAGGGGUGCGCAUGGAAUCGCGCGUGUAAGAGCGAAUUUGUUUCCAAGUACAUUUAGCACAAUUAAAAACGAUUGGCUGAUAAUCAAAUCCACGGGGGGUGGGGGGUGGUGGAAAUGACGUACAAAGCGUGCCUUGCGUACGUCGUCUACGUAGCUCGAUUCUUUCAGAUUGCCCCAAUCAUUAAAAUAUUUCGGACUUGAUGAUGAGAGGCGAUCGAACAAGCGUCCGAGGAACGUUAUAAAAUAGCGUUAUUUAUAUUUAUUUGGCAAGUUGAUCGGUCAAUCUUCGACGCCUUUCUGUAGUCGCGGACGAGCCGAUACGUGGGAUUCCGCGGAAAGAUUUGUCGCGCAGCAUAAAAUGCGAUGCGCCCCCCUCGUCGUGUAAUCGCGACAACGCUCGAGGUCUCUUGUAACAUUCUAGAACAUUGGCGAAUAUCGCAGGUUUUCAUCACCGUACCGCGGAGAGAAAAGGAAAGUAGAGGAAAAGAAAGAGAGCUGAAGGGGAGAAAGAACCUAGCUGUGGCUAGAUACGUUAGGAAGGAGAAAGAGAGAGAGAAAGAGAACGUCUAGCAAGUAGCAAGGAAUAUCUCGCGAAACUAAACGGGCGCAACAAGUAGUUUGAACAAACGAGCCGGUACGUAGGAUCGCGUCCGAUAAAACUUCGCAAGAGCUCCUGGAAACAAAGGAAUUUAGAGUCUGUCCGCAAGAAGGAGAAGGAGA